rnacentral:rRNA from 1 species
AAACCUGAGAAACCCGAAAGAUCGAAUGGGGAGAUUCAUCGUCAGCGAUUCCGGUACGUGUGCGGCUCGCGAUGUCCGAGACUUCGGUCUCGCGGCACGCGUCCGCAUGUUUUUUAUUGCUGGAAUCGUCGGCGUGCACUUCUCCCCUAGUAGGACGUCGCGACCCGUUGGGUGUCGGUCUACGGCACGGUAGGUAGCCUGUCACGUGUGCGCUUCACGGCGUUACGCGGGGCAGACCUCCGUUCGCCCGACCGGCUGCUCGGCGGUACUCGCAAGGUAUCUGGCCGCAGACAUACGAACUGCGUCCGGCCCGUCGCAAGCGCGGCAAGUGUUUCCCGGCUGUACGGAUCCAAUGCCGUUCACCGGGCCUUGUCAGCUGUUGGUUGACGGUGUCCUAGGACUGGCUAACAGAUACCGGUCGGCGACGCUACUGCUUUGGGUACUUUCAGGACCCGUCUUGAAACACGGACCAAGGAGUCUAACAUGUGCGCGAGUCAUUGGGAGCUAUUAAGCCUAAAGGCGCAAUGAAAGUGAAGAUCGGCCUCGCGCCGAUCGAGGGAGGAUGGGCCGCGUCACGAUGCGGUCCCGCACUCCCGGGGCGUCUCGUUCUCAU